rnacentral:tRNA from 2 species
GCGGGCGUGGCGGAAUUGGCAGACGCGCGAGAUUUAGGUUCUCGUGCCGAAAGGUGUGUGGGUUCGAGUCCCACCGCCCGCACCA